CCUACGGGAGGCAGCAGUGAGGAAUAUUGGUCAAUGGGCGUAAGCCUGAACCAGCCAAGUCGCGUGAGGGAUGAAGGUUCUAUGGAUCGUAAACCUCUUUUAUAAGGGAAUAAAGUGUGGGACGUGUCCUAUUUUGUAUGUACCUUAUGAAUAAGGAUCGGCUAACUCCGUGCCAGCAGCCGCGGGUAUACGGAGGAUCCGAGCUUUAUCCGGAUUUAUUGGGUUUAAAGGGUGCGUAGGCGGCCGUGUAAGUCAGCGGUGAAAGUCUGUGGCUCAACCAUCGAAUUGCCGUUGAAACUGGGGGGCUUGAGUAUGUUUGAGGCAGGCGGAAUGCGUGGUGUAGCGGUGAAAUGCUGAGAUAUCACGCAGAACCCCGAUUGCGAAGGCAGCCUGCCAAGCCAUGACUGACGCUGAUGCACGAAAGCGUGGGGAUCAAACAGGAUUAGAUACCCCAGUAGUC
rnacentral:rRNA from 1 species